UGUUUGCCGUUAUUCGUGGGUGAAUGUAAACAGAAAGGAAGCUCGUUCCGAUACACACCAAAUCAUCGGUUUCGCGAUGGUAGAACGGUGUAGUGUCCCGGAUUGCACCGGUAACAUUGAUUCAAACGAUUCAAGUAGUUUCUACAAUUUUCCGUGCGAUCCUAAACGCACUGCGGAAUGGUGUGACAAACUUUAAAUUUAUAACGUGCGACAGUGUUGACAACGAUUCGUCAACAAAACGCAUAUGUAGCGGACACUUUUCACCUCAGCAGUACGUUGGGUAACGGCAACGGAAAUUUCAUAACGAGCUUCGAUGCUGGUCAACCGUUGGAUGCAUUAGACAAUUUUACCAAAGAUAAUUUCGUAAUUUGCAUUUUUCAGGUUAUUGGACUUCAGAUUCCUACAUUCGUUGAUGGGAGAGUUUACACUUCCGAGCUACACUAACACUAAAGAGGCCACGAUGGAUGAAAAUGCCGAAGACCUUAUUGUACCGGACAUACUUCGAGAAUCUGUUCUACUACAACUGAAACCUUGUUCAUCAAUUAGGAAAACCAUCCAAGUGAUUCAAGGAUUGCUCGGUUCGCAAUUCCAUGGAGUCUGAAAGAGAAAUUAUUUGAAAG